CAGCCGUAAACUAUGCUCGCUAGGUGUCAGGGACGGUGCGACCGUUUCUGGUGCCGCAGGGAAGCCGUGAAGCGAGCCACCUGGGAAGUACGGUCGCAAGGCUGAAACUUAAAGGAAUUGGCGGGGGGAGCACUACAACGGGUGGAGCCUGCGGUUUAAUUGGACUCAACGCCGGAAAACUCACCGGGGGCGACAGCAGAAUGAUGGCCAGGUUGAUGACCUUGCUUGACAAGCUGAGAGGUGGUGCAUGGCGUGUGACUGU
rnacentral:rRNA from 1 species